GCACUUGGAGUAUUGUUAUAUUCUCCUAAAAGAAGAAUAGCACCUUUAGGGACAGCUCUAACAACAAUUUGAUUCUCAGGAGUGAAUGUAACAUUGUGUGUUCUCAUAAAUUCUGGAUAAUCAUAUAGUUGUCCAUCAUUAUUCAAUAAUUGUUUAACCCAAAUAAUGUUGUCACACCAGUUCUGGAAUAUUAAAGACUUGUUUUUGUAUUUUUGGACAUCAGCAGGUGUUCUUGAAACAACAUGAUGGAGUCGUCCACUAAAUGUAAUGCUGCUUGGGCGAGGAUGGAAAAGCCCAGCGAAGGCACCCGAGCUUAGAGGAGUUUCGUGAAAUUAGUAGGAGGCCAGAGGGCAGCCAACACCUCACACAGCCCCACUCUGUCACUCGCAGGCACAGCAACUCAGACCCCAACCCGGGGGUUGUACCCCAGAACACCCACAAAGAGAAAGAGAGAUCUCAGAUGCGAGUGAUGACCAGCAGCAGGGGAUCACUCAGUUUUCCCCUGUGAUCGGUGUGGUCAGGGUGUUCAGUCCUCAGAAAGCAGCCCUGUCCCAGGGCUCAGGUUCCAUAACACCGAGGGACUCAAUGGAGAGCUCCUCCCCUAAAUGGGGACUGAGGAGGCACUAGCCACCUCUAUGAAGGAGAAACCUGAGGAUGAGAAGGUGGACUAUCUGGAGGGGCUGACAACAGACAUGUUUGGGGACGGCAAGGAGUUUGAGCGUUGUUUGUCAGAUCCAGACCCAGCCUUUAUGAAUCACCAUGAGGAGGCGGAGGCCCUGCCUGACGCCCUUUACUUCCUCUUGGGGAGCAGCAGAGGCCUGUCCCAUCCCCAGGGUUUCGUGGACGUCCUCCCAGAGGAGGUGCUGAUGCUGGUUUUGAGCCUCCUGCCUGCUGAGGACUUCUACUGUAAUGUCAGCCUGGUCUGCCAACGCUGGAGGAACAUUAUCACCCAGUCACUGGUGAGAGCCUGGGACAGGUGGAGGACGUUAGGGUUAAAGUUAUUACAUUUACAUUUAAGUCAUUUAGCAGACGCUCUUAUCCAGAGCGACUUACAAAUUGGUGCAUUCACCUUAUGACAUCCAGUGGAACAGCCACUUUACAAUAGUGCAUCUAAAUCUUUUAA